CUACCAAACACAGCUCAAACAUGAUUCAUUCUGUUACAUAACCACAUAGAUUGGUCAAAUUUGAUGUAAUUUCAUACAUGUCAGUGUGGCUUUCAUUCAAAUGUAAUUUAUCAUAUGAAUGUAAGUGUCAUGCAAAUAUAACUAAGAAACAUCAUGUCUCCUGAAGCAGCAUCUGACCAGUUUUCCUCCAGUAUUUUCACAGUGCAGAAGCUGUGAUGUUUGGUUUUGUUGGAUGUUCUGGACUGUGUUCAUAGGUGCAUUGCUGUAAUGAAAUGUUUAUUUCAUCUCUUUAACCUGAAUUAGGAGUGUGGCAUAUUUAGCAUGAGUCUUUUUAAACCAAAUUAGUGUGUGACUCUUCGGCCUCAUAUUUUAUGGCUCCUCUUUCUUGGAUAAUGGUCAUGUUUUCAGCUUCUGUCAAUCAGUCACUGACAGUGAUGAGGUUUUGACACGCACAUGACAUCAUGGUGUUGUGCACUUACUCUAUAGAGUGAGCUUGAUAAGAUUAGCAUGUGUACAUGAAUUCAUUUCAUAACUCAUUUGCUUUGGCUGAAUGUAAACGUAGCAUAUUCAGGGGUUCACAGUUCUCCAUCAAUCAUAGAAACCAGCAAUGUGAUCCAGUGGCUCGUGGGACUGUUAUAGAUGCUCUGUUUUUCUCUCUAAACCGUAUUUGAUUUUGCAAACAGAAACCAGAGUCCAUUCCGGCCCUCAUUGAGGAAAUUAUUUUCCCACUCUGUGCAGAAGAAUGGAGGAGGAGGAGUGAACAGCUUGUGUUUUACGGCUCUCAGGUUGCGUGUUUAUGAGUAUGCAGUUGUUCCCGGGGCAGGUCUGGGCAUGUUCUCCGGGGAAUGUGGGAAAUUACCUGUUAGACGAUACAGAUUUCCAAGACACUACUCCUGUCACGAUCGGGACACAGGAAAACACAGAGAGAGAUCCAAGUGCAGGAUUCGACGUAAUGUUGACAGAGAGACUCGUUGGAUGUUAUUGAAAAUAUUGUCAUCAUUGAUGAUAUUGCCUUGGAUUUCUCGUAGCCUGAUACAAUUAUUGGCCAAAACCAUGUUCACAAUGGCGGCCUCUUGUGCAUGACUAAACAUAGGACCCCUUCCACCUUGGUGUCCUCGACCCUCAAUCCUAUGUAAAAAAAAAA